CGGGCGCGGGCUGGGGGCAGCGGCGGGGACGCGGCGGCGCUGGCCAGCCCGGCGGAGAGGGGGCGCGUGGGGAGGAGACUGAGCCGGGGAGGGAGCCCCGCGCGCGAUCCUGCGCUCGUGCCGGCGCGGGAGGGCCCCCUCUCGGGACACACGCGCCGCCGAAAAGCUGAUCUCCGGGGGGAAAAGGGUUCUCCCGAAACUUUUUGAGGAGCAGAGGGUCUCUCCCGCCCCCUCCCCGCCCUGUGCCGGGAGAGAGGCGCCGCAAGUGCGCUUGGCUGCGCGCGCCGGGCCGCCGGGCUCGCUUCCUCCCGCGGGCCUCCUGGGUUUCCCUCCGCCCCCUUGUGGGGAUCCCCGUGCGCGCCCGGCUCCGACCUGAAACAGGACUCCCCGAGGCUCUUUGGUUCGCUGGGGGUGUCCUGGCUCCCCCCUCUGGCCCGGGCUCACACUUCACUCGGGAUAGUCCUGUACCAAGCCUCCAGGCUGUGGCCGAGGGAAGAGGGUCAGGGCGGCGCGAGGGCCCCCCGGCCAACCCCGGGACGAGGCUCCUGACCUUCCUGUCGCCGAGAGCAGUCAGGCUGCCCCCAGUCCUGCGGUCAGAGCCCUAAUCCUCGCACUCCCCAGCCUCCACUUGUGCUCCAGCCCUCACCUGCAGCGUUGCAGAAGAUGUCCUUUAGAGAGAACACCUGGUGGUCUCAGUUUGUGCAAAGAGCCUCGGGGAGAAAAUUCCAGGCCCUGAUACAGUCGUCUGAGAAUUCGCUUGCUUGGAAAAAGAAGCAUCACCCCAAGAUGUGCCAGGGCCUGCACCCUUCCAGGAGCAAGACAGGCGUGGGUAUGAGGCCCCUCCACAGCCUGGCAGCCUGGGCUGGGUGCUGGUGUCACCGUCCAUGCCCUCUUUUUAACCUCCAAAAAGCAUUCCACGCAAAGACUUUGGGCAGGAUAUGAGGGCGCAGAAGUGGUUCAUCUUUCUCACAGAUCUGCCUCGAUCACAAAGGACCGCAUGCACAGACAUCAGCCCAGAAGCGAGGCCCGGGCCACCAGGGUCUUCUGUGUCCACCGGCCUCGAUCCCAGGCUCCAGGCACUCUCUAGCCCACAGUGCCCACACCUGAUAGACCUGUUUCCACAACAAAGCAGGGUUGUGUCUCCAUAACACCAGACAGUGCCAGUUGUCAGACAAGCCACCGGCGAGAGAUGGGAGGAAGAGGGUGGGAGAGGAGAGGAGAAAAUCAGAGGAGCCACUUGCUGGGUGAGGUGACAAGUCAGCCUUCUGGCCAUGACUGGCUCUUACCCAGGGAAGUGAGGCCUGAGCAAAGAGAGGGAAGACACUGGGCGUUCACAGAACACCUUCAACACUCUAAGGCCAUGUGCUGGUGGAUGGCGGGGAGUAGGGGAGCGACUUGUGCAUAGGGGAGCCUGGGCCCCCGCCCUUGGACAUGACACCUGUUCACACCAGGCUGGACACAGACUCCCAGGCCUCCGGUCUCUGGACAGGUCUGGUCAACCUCGACCCUGGCCGAACGGACCAGCUGCGCUUCACCUCUAGACAUGUCGCCUGCACGUCGGGCACUCAGAGGCCAACAAAACCCAGCAUCUCCGAGGAAGGUCUGACUGCUGAUCCCCUCCUCGUUCUUGUCCAAUGCCUUCAUCAAAAGGGUGGUAAACCUUUUCCUUUAAAUGCUUACUGGGCUGUCGGCACUUCAAAGAGCACAGAAUCAUCACUCCUGGACAAGUGUGAGUCCACGCUGCAGGUCAGGAGGCUGUGGGAAGGCCCUGUCCACAAUCUGGAGCUCACAGGACUUGAAGCAUUCAGUUAGAAAUGAACUUAAAAGAAGCUGCUUGUUCUCUUUAUUUAUUUUUUCUUUUCUUAAAGUUUUUAUGGGAGUAUCCUUGAUUUACCAUGUUGUGUUAGUUUCAGGUGUGCAGCAAUCAGUUAUUUUACAAUUGUUUCCCAUUUUUGUACUCUUUUUCAGGCCAAUGGUCAGUGUUUGUUGGGUGCUUUUGACUCACUUCAUGGAUGUGACUGUAGUUUUUUUUUCCCCCUACCUGUGGACCAGAGUCAUUAUCAUAGGUGCCCAUCAUCUUUUUUUAAAUUUACUGAGGAUUAUGUACAUAUAGUAACAUGCACACGGCUUUAGCAUUUAGCUCAAUGACUUUACCUAUUCAUGCACAACCUACUUGAGUUCCAGAUCAGGACGUAGAGCAUUCUCUGGCCCCCUCAUGCCAACCCCUCCUUGGACAAUAACCCUCUGAAGGUAACCCCUCUUCCCUGCUCUCUCUCCUGGGUUAUUGGUGCCUGUCCUUGAACUUCAGGUGAACAGAGGCUCCUUUUGCUCAGCCUUGUUUCCAUGGGAUCUGUCCACGUGGAUGUGUAGGGCUGUGACGGUUUCUUUUCGUGCUGCGUAUGUGUACGUUGUUUUUUACCUGAUGCUUCAGCUCCCUUCCAAGUUUAGUGUAAGCCAAGAAUAACCACACCACUGCCUCUGGAUCUGAGACAAGUGACCUCCCAGAUUGGCUUGCUUUAGAAGGAACUUCAGCUGAAACUGAAACAGUCAUGGGCUGCCUCUCAAACCGGUUACAUGACCUAAGGGUAAUUGCAGGACAGCAGAUCAGCUGGCCAGCUUGGGGGUCAGGCUUUUAAAGACAUACCUAGAAGAACUGCUAUGAUGUGCAUAAAAUUUGGAGGCUGCUUUUCAUGGAAAAAGCACAACCCAUUUCUUGUACAUUCUUUCCAUCCCCUUUUUCUUCUAAAUGAGAAGAAAGUAGAAUUAAGGUGCCAUCAGAAAAGACGCCCCCCCAACUCCGAGGCAGGGCCAUGGAGGGUCCUUUCAAUCCAGCAUUAGUGGAUAUAAACAGUACAAGGGAUCUUGUUGGAAAUGUUCACUCCCAGCCCAUCCUGAGGAAAAGGAUUCAGGAGGCCUGGAAAUCUACAUCAUUCAGACAUUUCCAGGGACCCAUCUGUGUUAAAGUUUGAGAUCUGUUCUAGAGGAAGGGACAGUGUAGCGUGUCUUUUUGGUGGAUCCUAAAGGAGAAAACAAAUCUGAAAAGGGAAACUAUGUUACCCAGUCCCUUUUUGUCAAGAUUUGUAAUUGACUUGUUUUUGAUAUUUGGAAGAAAUAGAGAAAAGAGAGAGGAACACAAGCAUACCCUGUAGCCAAGGCUGUAUAUUAAUCUCUCUCCUGUUUCACAAAUAAAAAAAUCCUAUAAAAAAUAAUCCAGGGAAAAUAAUAAAGAGGUUACAAUUUUAAAUCCUCAGAAGACAAAAAAUAAGCAAUUACAGUUUGAGCAAUUUUCUCAUUCUAUGAGAAUCGUUCAGAAAGAAAACAUGUAAACCCACUCGUUUUCUUUUGGCACUGAGACUUAGGACAGGUAGCAUGCUGAGUGUGGCAGGGGGCACUAAGAAGGGACCUGGGGGCCUGUUUUUGUAAAAAUAUAAACGUUAGGUUUAGGAAUCCUGUUUUGAAUGACAAAGACAGAUGUGUAAAGUGUUUUGUCAUUUUUGGUUUCAAAAUCUCAUCCUGAUCAACUACUGUGAUAUACAUCUUAAGCAGCAAAAGCAAGAUGCAUUAUGAACUGUAUACUCUCAGUGCUGCAAAAUUAGGCAAAAUCACUUGCAUGUCUCCCUAUAUAUACUUUAAUAUAAAUAUAUGUAUAUGCAAUAUAUAUAUACAUGUA